AAUAUGAGAUUUGUAUAUGGCAUGAGACAGAUAGUUAAAGGAUAUUCUGGUGCAAAAUUGUUUUGUGCAACUUUAAAUUCACCUCCACCACUUGCAAGAUCUGCAUUUAAUAAAAACAAAGUAAAACUGUUGAAAGCUGUUUCAUCUGUUGCACAAGCUUCGUUGAAUCAGGCUGCACAGGAGU